GGCUGGGUGACCUCCCGGGAAGUCCAAAACUCAGGAGCUUACAUUUGGUAUCGGAGCGGUCUCGGGUCCAACUCUGUUGGUUGGCUAAGGGAAUCACACCACAUGUUGAUUGACAUCUGGUUGGUCCAGUUUGCUCCCGCUAGGCUCGACCCGAGGGGUAGGGUGUCAAGAGAGCUGCGGCUCUCAGAUUCCGUUCACGAGGGCGUGAACUUGCAAGGAAGCGUGGUGGAUUGUAAGCAACCAAAAGGAACGACUCGAGAGACGGUCCAUGGGGUUCAAAUAUAGAGGGAAAGGGCCCAUGAAUAAGAGUGCAC
rnacentral:lncRNA from 1 species